rnacentral:sRNA from 1 species
UAAGCGAAGGCGCAGUAUUCUAGUCAACUAAAGCAAAUGAGGGUGCCGAAAUAAGCAUCGCUGGCAAAACUGUGAAGUUCGUGGUGCUGGCUUUGAUUGCCCAAAUCGGGGCUGGUGCUGGGAGUUAAGAUUUUUGGGAGAUACAUAAUGGCAUAUGUGUUAAUCCCCAAUUAUCGUGGAGACCUUAUCUGGUAGGUAGAGUAGUGAUUGGCUACGAUCUAUCACUAAGGAUUGAACCUGCAUAUGGCGAAAGUUAUGUGCAGUGUAGCCUGCUUUGAGUGCGAGUGUUGGGAUAGGGCGACAACUUAAAAUACUUUCAAAGUACACGAAAAUUUUAAGUUGCCUUUGAAAUCGCGAGUGCAAAAUAAAGAUAAGUUUGUUUGAUGUUGUUAAGGAAAACUUCUAGGCUGUUCAUUAGAGAUUUUCAGGGGAUUAUAGUGUGGUCUAAGUGGCGAUUCGGUGCAAGUUUUGCGUAAAGGGAAACCGCUUGGCUGGUAACGGACAAGUGCAAAAUUGGGAAAUCCAACCGAACCUAUGCCGCAAGGUUUACCUUGAAAAUUGCCUUCGUUAUUUUUAA